GGGAGGUGAGGGGGCACAGCCAGGGGAGGUGAGGGGGCAGCCGGAGGGGGCUGUGAACGAGAGAGAGGACGGGGCUGGGGCCUNUCCCCUGGCUGUGCCCCUUCACCUCCCCUGGCUGUGUCCCCUUCACCUCCC
rnacentral:miRNA from 1 species